AGAGUUUGAUCCUGGCUCANAACGAACGCUGGCGGCAGGCUUAACACAUGCAAGUCGAGCGCCUCGCAAGAGGAGCGGCAGACGGGUGAGUAACACGUGGGAACGUGCCCAAAGGUACGGAACAACUCCGGGAAACUGGAGCUAAUACCGUAUGUGCCCGAAAGGGGAAAGAUUUAUCGCCUUUGGAUCGGCCCGCGUCUGAUUAGCUUGUUGGUGAGGUAACGGCUCACCAAGGCGACGAUCAGUAGCUGGUCUGAGAGGAUGGCCAGCCACACUGGGACUGAGACACGGCCCAGACUCCUACGGGAGGCAGCAGUGGGGAAUAUUGGACAAUGGGCGCAAGCCUGAUCCAGCCAUGCCGCGUGAGUGAUGAAGGCCUUAGGGUUGUAAAGCUCUUUCGCCAGGGACGAUAAUGACGGUACCUGGAUAAGAAGCCCCGGCUAACUUCGUGCCAGCCGCCGCGGUAAUAC
rnacentral:rRNA from 1 species